UACGAAGGGGGGCUAGCGUUGUUCGGAAUUACUGGGCGUAAAGCGCGCGCAGGCGGUUCUUCAAGUCAGAGGUGAAAGCCCAGAGCUCAACUCUGGAAUGGCCUUUGAGACUAGAGAACUAGGGUACGGGAGAGGUGAGUGGAAUUCCACGUGUAGCGGUGAAAUGCGUAGAGAUGUGGAGGAACACCAGUGGCGAAGGCGGCUUUCUGGUCUGUAACUGACGCUGAGGCGCGAAAGCGUGGGGAGCAAACAGG
rnacentral:rRNA from 1 species